rnacentral:rRNA from 1 species
GAUCAUGGCUCAGGAUGAACGCUAGCUACAGGCUUAACACAUGCAAGUCGAGGGGCAGCAUGAACUUAGCUUGCUAAGUUUGAUGGCGACCGGCGCACGGGUGAGUAACACGUAUCCAACCUGCCGAUGACUCGGGGAUAGCCUUUCGAAAGAAAGAUUAAUACCCGAUGGCAUAGUUCUUCCGCAUGGUAGAACUAUUAAAGAAUUUCGGUCAUCGAUGGGGAUGCGUUCCAUUAAG